AACGAACGCUGGCGGCAGGCCUAACACAUGCAAGCCGAGCGGUAGAGUUUCUUCGGAAACUUGAGAGCGGCGUACGGGUGCGGAACACGUGUGCAACCUGCCUUUAUCUGGGGGAUAGCCUUUCGAAAGGAAGAUUAAUACCCCAUAAUAUAUUGAUUGGCAUCAAUUAAUAUUGAAAACUCCGGUGGAUAGAGAUGGGCACGCGCAAGAUUAGAUAGUUGGUGAGGUAACGGCUCACCAAGUCAGUGAUCUUUAGGGGGCCUGAGAGGGUGAUCCCCCACACUGGUACUGAGACACGGACCAGACUCCUACGGGAGGCAGCAGUGAGGAAUAUUGGACAAUGGGUGAGAGCCUGAUCCAGCCAUCCCGCGUGAAGGACGACGGCCCUAUGGGUUGUAAACUUCUUUUGUAUAGGGAUAAACCUACCCUCGUGAGGGUAGCUGAAGGUACUAUACGAAUAAGCACCGGCUAACUCCGUGCCAGCAGCCGCCGUAACAC
rnacentral:rRNA from 1 species